rnacentral:lncRNA from 1 species
AUUAACUCUCUACUAAAUUGCUAAAAGGAUUUGUGUUCACAUCCGCUGUCAGCUCAGUGUAAACUCACCCUCAGCAGAAACUGCUUGGAGAGCGAUGUGAGCAGGCUGGGCACUGGCAAGUUCAUGGAAGCUGCUCUGGAAAUUCAGCUGAGGCAAGUAAUGAACACCUGAUGGGUGGGAAGGUCUUCAAUGCUUCAGCUAUUUCUAAAGCACUUUCUGAUUGUGUUCUAAUGGGCAAUUUUGAUAGAUCACAUUUUUGGAUACACAAGUUACAUUAAGUUUUUAGAAGUAUCUGACCCACUGGGUUUUUUGGGGUUUUUUUGGUGUUUUUUGGUGGUUUUUUUGGGUUUUUUUUUGUUGUUGUUUUUUUUGUUUGUUUGUUUUUCUUUUAUUUUUGUUUUUUUUUUUUUUGUGGGAAUGGUGCAGAGGGUUUUCCUGGUUUUUCUUUUCUUUUUGGUUUAUCUUGAAUCCCUUUAUUUAUUUCAAGGAUGUAUGUUUUUUUUUGUUUGUUUUGUUUUUUUUUUAAUAUACUUAGGGAACUGUUGUCACUAUCUGCCAAACAUCUCAGAAAAUUAAGGAAGGUUGGAAAUUUCAAAGGAGAAAUGCCUUAAACCAGCUGCCACUUUGCUCAUUUCAACCUUUGACAUUAUGAAGAGUUUCAAGGACUUGUCUUCUGAAAGUGUUUACCUUGUGAGGUGGCUUCCUGGGUACGCCAGGUUCCCUGAGGGUCUGCAGAGAGAAUGGAGGAGGCAAACAGCAUGGCAUGGGAGAGGAGAUACAACCAUUGGAAAGAGGUCCUGGUCCUCUCAGGGCUCUUCUAGGGUUUAUGAAAUGUUCAUGGGACCUUGUUGGACUUUGUGCAAAGGGCAGUUUGAUGAUGUGAAAUGCCUUCUUACUGUGGAGCAAGCUAAGACAAGGGAAGUAGUGACACUCAAGACUCAGGCAAGCUCUUCAUGCUGCAGCACCCAGCAGAAGCCCCUGAGUCGUCUUAUCAGCCUCAUCUGCAUUUUUCAUCAUCUGAAAGAGCUGCAAGUGAUGCUCAG